CCAGACUCCUACGGGAGGCAGCAGUGAGGAAUAUUGGUCAAUGGCCGGAAGGCUGAACCAGCCAAGCCGCGUGAAGGACGAAGGUGCCAAGCAUUGUAAGCUUCUUUUGUCAAGGGACAAAAUCAGGCUCGAGAGCCUGACCGAGGGUACUUGAAGAAAAAGCAUCGGCUAACUCCGUGCCAGCAGCCGCGGUAAUACGGAGGAUGCGAGCGUUAUCCGGAUUUAUUGGGUUUAAAGGGUGCGUAGGCGGACGCUGAGGUCAGCGGUAAAUUGGCGGGGCUCAACCUCGUCGAGCCGUUGAAACUGGGUGCCUUGAGUGGGCGAGAAGUACGCGGAAUGCGUGGUGUAGCGGUGAAAUGCAUAGAUAUCACGCAGAACCCCGAUUGCGAAGGCAGCAUACCGGUGCACAACUGACGCUGAGGCACGAAAGUGCGGGGAUCGAACAGGAUUAGAUACCCUGGUAA
rnacentral:rRNA from 1 species